rnacentral:rRNA from 1 species
GGGUGAGUAAUAUAUAGAUAAUGUGCCUCUUAGUCUGGGAUAGCCAUUGGAAACGAUGAUUAAUACUAGAUACUCCUUGUAAUCAUAAGAUUAUUCGGGAAAGUUUUUUCGCUAAGAGAUCAGUCUAUAUCGCAUCAGUUAGUUGGUGGGGUAACGGCCUACCAAGACAAUGACGCGUAGCGGGUUUGAGAGGAUGAUCCGCCACACUGGUACUGAGACACGGACCAGACUCCUACGGGAGGCAGCAGUGAGGAAUAUUGCACAAUGGGGGAAACCCUGAUGCAGCAACGCCGCGUGGAGGAUGACGCAUUUCGGUGUGUAAACUCCUUUUAUGAGUCAAGAAAAUGACGGUAGCUCAUGAAUAAGCACCGGCUAACUCCGUGCCAGCAGCCGCGGUAAUACGGAGGGUGCAAGCGUUACUCGGAAUCACUGGGCGUAAAGGACGCGUAGGCGGGUUAUCAAGUCAGGUGUGAAAUCCUAUGGCUCAACCAUAGAACUGCACUUGAAACUGGUAACCUAGAGUAUGGGAGGGGCAGAUGGAAUUAGUAGUGUAGGGGUAAAAUCCGUAGAUAUUACUAGGAAUACCGAAAGCGAAGGCGAUCUGCUGGAACAUAACUGACGCUAAGGCGUGAAAGCGUGGGGAGCAAACGGGAUUAGAUACCCCGGUAGUCCACGCCCUAAACGAUGAACACUAGUCGUCGGGGAGCUAGUCUCUUCGGUGAUGCACUUAACAGAUUAAGUGUUCCGCCUGGGGAGUACGGUCGCAAGAUUAAAACUCAAAGGAAUAGACGGGGACCCGCACAAGUGGUGGAGCAUGUGGUUUAAUUCGAAGAUACGCGAAGAACCUUACCUAGCCUUGACAUUGAUUGAAUACCCUAGAGAUAGAGUAGUGCCCUUCGGGGAACAUGAAAACAGGUGCUGCACGGCUGUCGUC